UCCCUGAUGGUCCAAUGGUUAAGACUACACACUUCCAAUGAAGGUUCAAUUGACCCAGGUUCAAUCCCUGCUCAGGGAA
rnacentral:tRNA from 1 species